rnacentral:rRNA from 1 species
UACGUAGGGUGCAAGCGUUAAUCGGAAUUACUGGGCGUAAAGCGUGCGCAGGUGGUUGUGCAAGACAGGUGUGAAAUCCCCGGGCUUAACCUGGGAAUUGCAUUUGUGACUGCACGGCUAGAGUGUGGUAGAGGGGGAUGGAAUUCCGCGUGUAGCAGUGAAAUGCGUAGAUAUGCGGAGGAACACCGAUGGCGAAGGCAAUCCCCUGGGCCUGCACUGACACUCAUGCACGAAAGCGUGGGGAGCAAACAGG